GGAUGUUUUUUUUUUCUUACUUCAUAUUAAUUUGCUGGUUCUAAUGAUCCCUUUUAUCCAGGAUGUAAAAUUUAUUUAAAGAUACCAAUAUCUUACAGGAUUAUUGAAAAAAAAACACACACAGUAUACUUUCAUUUCUAUGUGCUUUUAGCAGCAAACAAGUUCUGACUUCAGACACUGGAAUCCUAUGCCUGACAUUCUCUUUUCUGGCUCCGUUUUAUUUGCAGCCUUAUUUUGUAUUUGCAUUGCAUUCUGUCCAGAGUGCUACAGCAACAGCUGCCAUCUAAAGGCCAAGGUGGGGCUAUAGGAGUGAUGGUGGCUGGUUCGCCCCGGUUCAGGAGAACCGGUAGUGGUGGCAGUGGGAGGAUAUCAUCACGGAUGCUCUGAGCAUGCACAGAAGGUUCUACGCAUGCGCAGAAGUGCCACAAGCGCGCUCACAGUUCCGAACCGGUAGUGAAGAGAUGGAUAUUCAGAACUUCCCGAAAAUACAGAUUUGGAACAGAUGCAUCACUUUGUCUAGAUAAUGUGUGCAUGUAUUCCAGUUCAAACACUCAGAGUGAGAAUUACCUUGCAAGCUUGGAUCCUUAUCAAAAUCCAAUUGGAGGCUGAGCUGUAUUUACAGAAUGUGGAUGAUAAUGGCCUUGGUUUUUCAUGCCAUCUCACUGGUGUGCUUCAGCAUGACCUUGUCAAAGUUAAAAGCUCAUAAAAUUCUAUUUAUUUUUUAUGGCAUUAUGAUUCUGUGUAACAGGGCUUAAAACAAAAACACAGUAUAAUUAUACUGUCGAUCAAACAACUAAGAAAGGCAUUUUUCCACCAGCUUUGCACCUAGCAAACUGUAAAUAAUUAAUAAAACUAGAGGCCAUGACUAAGUGGAAGCGUUGGGGGGCUAGUUAAGCAUUUGUCAUCACUCUGGUUAAAGCAACUCAUACACAGCUCUGACUGUUUACUUUUAUCCUGUGAGUACAAAAAUAGUUGUUUGUUCUUAUUGGAUUGCCAUGCAUGAGCCUAAUAAAAAGCUCAAGCUGUCAACAGCACUAUGAACAGGUGUACAAUGCGUACUUAUUGUUUAAUUCAUCUGACUUUCCAGCCCAUUUAGCUUACGACAAAUAAAAACAAAAAUAUUUUCUUCAUUAUCUCCAAUUAAUGUAAAUGUCAAACAUGGUGAAUAUAUUAGCAUGUGUAUAAUGCAUUGUGUAUUGAUGUGGCAGAUUUCUUGCAAUAAAGUGACUUUUUCUGAAUAUAA